AGAGUUUGAUCAUGGCUCAGAUUGAACGCUGGCGGCAUGCCUUACACAUGCAAGUCGAACGCGAAAGGGGGCAACCCCGAGUAGAGUGGCGGACGGGUGAGCAAUACAUCGGAACAUUUCCUGUAGCGGGGGACAACCCCGAGAAAUCGGGGCUAAUACCGCAUACGAUCUACGGAUGAAAGUGGGGGACCGCAAGGCCCACACUAUAGGAGUGGCCGAUGCCGGAUUAGCUAGUUGGUGGGGUAACGGCCUACCAAGGCGACGAUCCGUAGCUGGUUUGAGAGAACGACCAGCCACACUGGGACUGAGACACGGCCCAGACUCCUACGGGAGGCAGCAGUGGGGAAUUUUGGACAAUGGGCGAAAGCCUGAUCCAGCCAUGCCGCGUGAGUGAAGAAGGCCUUCGGGUUGUAAAGCUCUUUCGGCGGGGACGAAAUAGCGCGGGGUAAUAUCCCGCGUCGAUGACGGUACCCGAAGAAGAAGGACCGGCUAACUACGUGCCAGCAGCCGCGGUAAUACGUAGGGUCCAAGCGUUAAUCGGAAUUACUGGGCGUAAAGCGUGCGUAGGCGGUUUCGCAAGUCCGAUGUGAAAUCCCCGGGCUUAACCUGGGAACUGCGUUGGAAACUACGAAGCUAGAGUGCGGCAGAGGGGGGUGGAAUUCCAGGUGUAGCAGUGAAAUGCGUAGAGAUCUGGAGGAACACCGAUGGCGAAGGCAGCCCCCUGGGCUAGCACUGACGCUCAUACACGAAAGCGUGGGGAGCAAACAGGAUUAGAUACCCUAGUAGUCC
rnacentral:rRNA from 1 species